rnacentral:tRNA from 1 species
AAUGAUGAGCCUGAUUAAAGGACUAUCGUGAUAGGAUAAAACAUGUAGUGAAAACUACCUUCAUUA